CUCGAUGGUGGCUGUGCGCAGGGCGUCCUCGGACGCGCCGGUUUCUUGUUUCCCCGGUCGACUAACCUGCGUACAGCUGCCUCCCAU
rfam:Pseudomonas fluorescens F113, complete genome.